GACGAACGCUGGCGGCGUGCUUACACAUGCAAGUCGAACGAAGAGCGACGGAAGCUUGCUUCUAUCAAUCUUAGUGGCGAACGGGUGAGUAACGCGUAAUCAACCUGCCCUUCAGAGGGGGACAACAGUUGGAACCCCCUGCUAAUACCGCAUACGAUCUAAUCUCGGCAUCGAGGAUAGAUGAAAGGUGGCCUCUACAUGUAAGCUAUCACUGAAGGAGGGGAUUGCGUCUGAUUAGCUAGUUGGAGGGGUAACGGCCCACCAAGGCGAUGAUCAGUAGCCGGUCUGAGAGGAUGAACGGCCACAUUGGACUGAGACACGGCCCAGACCCCUACGGGAGGCAGCAGUGGGGAAUCUUCCGCAAUGGACGAAAGUCUGACGGAGCAACGCCGCGUGAGUGAAGACGGCCUUCGGGUUGUAAAGCUCUGUUAAUCGGGACGA
rnacentral:rRNA from 1 species